rnacentral:rRNA from 1 species
UACGUAGGAGGCAAGCGUUGUCCGGAAUCACUGGGUGUAAAGCGCGUGUAGGCGGCACGCCAAGUCUGCUGUGAAAGCCCCUGGCUUAACCGGGGGAGGUCGGUGGAAACUGGCGGGCUAGAGGCCGGUAGAGGGGACUGGAAUUCCCGGUGUAGUGGUGAAAUGCGUAGAGAUCGGGAGGAACACCAGAGGCGCAAGCGGGUCCCUGGGCCGGCACUGACGCUGAGACGCGAAGGCGUGGGGAGCGAACGGG